rnacentral:rRNA from 1 species
GAUGAACGCUGGCGGCGUGCCUAACACAUGCAAGUCGAGCGAAGCACUUUGCUUAGAUUCUUCGGAUGAAGAGGAUUGUGACUGAGCGGCGGACGGGUGAGUAACGCGUGGGUAACCUGCCUCAUACAGGGGGAUAACAGUUAGACAUGACUGCUAAUACCGCAUAAGACCACAGCACCGCAUGGUGCGGGGGUAAAAACUCCGGUGGUAUGAGAUGGACCCGCGUCUGAUUAGCUAGUUGGUAAGGUAACGGCUUACCAAGGCGACGAUCAGUAGCCGACCUGAGAGGGUGACCGGCCACAUUGGGACUGAGACACGGCCCAAACUCCUACGGGAGGCAGCAGUGGGGAAUAUUGCACAAUGGGGGAAACCCUGAUGCAGCGACGCCGCGUGAGCGAAGAAGUAUUUCGGUAUGUGAAGCUCUAUCAGCAGGGAAGAAAAUGACGGUACCUGACUAAGAAGCACCGGCUAAAUACGUGCCAGCAGCCGCGGUAAUACGUAUGGUGCAAGCGUUAUCCGGAUUUACUGGGUGUAAAGGGAGCGUAGACGGAUGGGCAAGUCUGAUGUGAAAACCCGGGGCUCAACCCCGGGACUGCAUUGGAAACUGUUCAUCUAGAGUGCUGGAGAGGUAAGUGGAAUUCCUAGUGUAGCGGUGAAAUGCGUAGAUAUUAGGAGGAACACCAGUGGCGAAGGCGGCUUACUGGACAGUAACUGACGUUGAGGCUCGAAAGCGUGGGGAGCAAACAGG